GCAGUGGAUAGUACAGUUUGGUGGAAAAUCUGUGCUGAUUGGCAGCUCCUAUUUAUUUGGACUUCUAUAGCUCGCCAUGCUGACGUCUCUGGGCUCCGGUCCGUGGAGCGUUCAGGACGAGGAGGUGCGGCAGCUCCAAGGGCACGCUGGCUCCGAGCCACUUCUCAACUUCUAAAACUGCACAGGCAAGAGCACAAGCCCACACUCCAACUCUCAACUUAAACACGGCCCACAUUAGACUUAUGGCAUCGGCAGCCUCUCCUAAUGAAUAUUCUCUUAGCAGGAGGCAGAGAUUUCUUUGCCUGAGGAAACAAGAAUAUUGAUGUUGGCAAUAUAAUAAUGACAUACUUAGUUGACCUUUGCUUCAUUUUGGGCAGUGUGGAUGUGCAGAAAACUUGUACUUGCAUACUAAUUUUGCCUGUUGGUUCAGAGAAUUUACAGCUUUUAUUGGAGAGAAGAGAAGGCUUGAGUGCUGCUGACCACUCCCAACAAGGAAAAACAAAACGACCUUCACGGAAAUUAGAUUUUUUUCAGAUGGUCCAAAUUAUGUGUAAAAAAUAAUGUUACAGAGCGAGGUAGAUAUCAGUUAGAGGGUAAAAUGUUAAAUUUGCUGUAAAAUGUCGGUUAAAUAUGCUCGACUUGGCUAGAGUUGGUGAUGAUGGCCAGAUUCUCUCUUUUCGGGCCUACAUUGACUUUUGAGUUGUACAUCAGUAUUUGCUCUUCUUCGGCACAAGAAAUAGGAGCUUCUUAUAAGCUGCCGCAAACAAUGCUAUCAAACGAAGCCGGUGUCAUAGUGCAUAAAUCUGCAAUUCCUAAAGUGUCCACUUGAGGCUGGUGGCAAAAGCCACAGAAAUCUCAUCAGGUCCUAUGUAAAAAUGUUAAAGCAGAAUUUAAGAUGUUUCAGUCAGUUUAAAACCAGUUUUUUUUAUAUUUGUGGUUCAUUCUUUACUGAAAUACCCUGUAGAGGAUUUUUUUUUUUUUGUUGGGUGUCAGUUUUGUUUUUUAAAGCUAAGAAAUAUAUAUGAAUAAUCAGUCGUACAGAUAAGUAGAUGGAUGGGUGGGCACCUUGUAGCUGUUUACAAGGAUGCUAACAUCCUACUUCAUUUCCACCUCUUUGCUGUUUCCAGAUUGAUCAAAAGUGACAUUGCAUUAGGCGUCCAACAUGGUGCUCACCAUCAUGAAGUUUCUGCACACGUUUCUUGUCUCUUUGAUAUUUUUACAUUUGAUUUUUCUUUUUAUACUUUUAAUUUUUAUACUGAAUGUUUACUUUCUUAUACUCAAUGUUACCAUAACACUGUGGGCCCUUAAGUAACACAAUUUCUAUCCUCUGUAAGUGUUAAAGAUAUUGCAGAACUGACAAUAACACAACACUUAACUUGAAAAAAAACAUGCUCCCCAUAUGCCACCAACCAACAGGUGGCAGCAGAGGGAUACAAUCAAUUAAUUGAUGGGAUACAAAAAGCAAGCAAUGUCAUAGUGUCAAAAUUUCAACAAACUGCACUGUAGCUACAUCAUUUUAUACCAUAUAUUUCUGUCUAACUAGCCAGGGGAAACCUGCACCGGUCAACCCUGGAUGUUAUUCUGAAAUCAAUCGUAAUACCUUCUUUGCCUAAAUUUCCCACAGACUGACUUACAUAAAGAAGUCUAAGUUGUUAUCUAAUCACUGUUGCACCAGGACUCCACUGACACUCAAAUCUGUCUUGACUUCAAGUUCAUUUUGCAGCAGUUCCCAUUUUUCAGAAUCCGUCGGGUGUUAUAAGCCAACAGAUAAUUUGGAAGCACAGACGGUAAAAGGAUAGUCAUGUAAAUGUUAUAGCAUUCCCCAUUCUUCCUCCGGGGAGAAAACUGGUGACACGGGUGACUCGAAGCUGGGCUGUCAAAGGGCAGAGGGCAGAGCAGCUGCACACACCUCCAGCUGUCUGAAAGCUCGCAGCGGCCAAAGGCUGAGGACACAAACGCUCUGCAGAAUACAGAGGAAAUCAGCACAUUUCAUCAGAAAGGAGGCAGCGGCUGAAUGGCCAGUGAUAAAAGCUGUUAUUGAGUCAUCUGUGAUUUUCAAGAACUGGUGGCAAUGGCGCAAGCUGAUUGCAUGCAUUCACUAUUUACAUCUCAUUUCCUGCUCUUUAUUUCCAACAAAAAGCCCCAUUUCCCAGAUUUUGAUAGCUAGAACAUGGUUUUUCCUCUAGUAAAGCUGGAUUUAUAUCCUAAAAGCAGCAAUCUAUGUGACUAAGUGCUUGGAGGAGAGAAAAGCCAGCCGGAUCUGUAAUACUGUAGUAAUUGUGGCUACUCCUUAAAAUAGAGGUACUGUAUGUUCAGAACUGUUAGUAAAAGAAGAAUAAUGGAUAUGACUUUCUCUUCCUUCAGCUGAUCAAAAGUUGAGUCUACAAAAGGCAAAAGAAAAGUCAAAAGAGCUCUGCCGGGAGCUGAUGUCUUAUUUUAAAAGAGAAAAGAGAAAAAUCAGAAAUUAUUCAAGAAAUUUAAGUCUGGAGUUUGAUCAACAAGAGGUAUUUGACCUUUUUUGAUGAUGGUGACUGUUUUCUGGAUUAAAGACUACAUUUCCCUUGAGCACCAUCCCCCACUGUAGUUAUGCGGUAGUCGGACGUCAGAGCUGGGAACGACAUUACACCCGAGUUGACGGCAUUCCAGUAAACGAAUCGGAAAACCAAGAUGGAUGCCUACUGUUAGCUAUUGUUUACAAUUGUCAGCUGUCGUUAGCCGUUGUCAGUUGUUGUUAGUGGUUGUCAGCUGUUGUUAGCUAUACCAGUUGUAAACAACGCAUAACACAGUAUUUUACUCCAACAAACACCAUAGCAUCGUGUUCACAGUAAGAUGUUGGGCAGUACAACAUAAACUACUUAUUUAAUUUCACAAAAACAAAACAGAAGUGCAAAUAAAUAAUACAUUACGAGAGCUUUCACUGUUACUCUUUACUGUUGAUGCACUGUGCUGCCAUCUUGGAUUGAUGACAUUGUCGUCAAGUUAGGGUUGAUGAGGAUCGUACGACUUUCCGAGUCGGAAAUCCGACUUCAGCGGUGCAUUCAAGAUAAAUUUCCGACCCGGAGCUUGGAAAUCCCGACUUCCGAGUACAACUGAAGCGCAGCGUAAAGUGCACCUUUAACAAAAUGCAUUUAUUGUGGAAACAUCCAUAUAGUUUGAUUUUUAUUUCGCAUAAAUCUUUAUUCAAAGCUCAUAUUCCUUGGGUAUUAAAAACUUCAUUAAUAUAAUCCAUAGACUGUUUAUAGAAUGGACACCGUCUGCCUCCUCGCUGGGUGAAGCCACUCCGAGAACAGCACCCUCUGAUGGUGGACUGCAGUAUAGGUCAUAAAUCCCGCCUCCGCCAGCAAAGCUUAUGGAGCUGUGGACAAACUUUAGAAAUUUAUUACACAGAACAUAAUUUUUCUGCCCCCCUGGUUACGAUGUUGAUAUGUAGUUAUUGUAAGACUGAUUUAUGUUCAAGUCCUCUUUUUUCUGUGCAGCUCCAUUUUUAAAAGUUAUUUGGGGGUUCGUGUUUUCCACGAUUGACACUCGAUACAGCCUAUGGGUGUAAGAAGAUUGUGUAGCUCACCCAGGGGAUACGCUGUUUGAACCGAGCGUCAUCACAGCGACUUUCGGCGACUCUCCCUCUGAAUGCGCACAAUGCUACUGCGCAAGUGGUGGAGUGUGUCCAAUGCUACUGAACAAUGUUGGUUCAGGAAAUACCGAGAGCUUUUUGGCUUCAAAUCCGUAUACUGGCGGGAGGCGGAACCAAGUUGUCCAUAGUAUACACAGUCUACGAUUUAAUCAUUUUCAUUCAUUUUUUUCAUAGUUUUGAAUAUCCGUUCUUUAUAUUCAGACUCUAAAAUCUAAAAAUAAAAACUCCAUUAUACAAAAUGAUUCCCUGAACCCUGUGCUGUAGUGCCCUCCAUCCAAACACAACAAAAACAAAUACAAACAUCACAAAACCAAUCAGGAGAGAAGAAGACAUCCCACUAAUGUGGAUCAAUCCAAGCAGAACAAAAAAAAAUGCAUUUAUUUCAUGUAAAACUUUCAUUCUCAGAGUAUGCAGCAUCAAAGCCUUUGCAUCUCUCAGUCAUGAGAGAGUGAUUGAAAAAGUCCUUUGUAUGAUGGUAGAAAGAACUUCUUCAGAGAGAAAUAGCAGAGAGAGAGAGAAAGAGAGAGAGCCUUUAAAGCACUUCCACCACCAUCACUCCCUUAUCCUCUGCCUUCUGUUCAGCUUCACAGAAAACUGACAGAAGAGCAAUGAGAGGCUUCCUCUCAGCUAUCAGACAUUAUCUAAUCCAGUUCAUGAUGUACUUAAAAAUUCAGACUUUAAUGUACGUUUUUCUAAACACAUUUGUCUGCAUCUUUGAGUUUUAAAGAUUUUACUUUAUUUAUAGUUUUAGAGUGUUAACAGAUGGUUGAACUUCUACUGCCAAGACUUCUCUUAAUGACCGCAUUAAUAAUUAUCUGUAAUUCUCAGGGUAGAGGGGAGUCAGGAUGAGCUUAGUGGGAAUUUCAGAUGUGGAAAGGGUUGUAGUAUAAGCUGCAUAGAGUUGUUUUUCACCCCAAGAGAGACUUGUAUUCAAAGUAUCCCAGUUUUGGAUUCUGGAGCACACUUGCAGAAGAAAAUGAAAGAACUUCCCAAACACUUAAGUUUCUGAUUUGGAUUGCAUCAGGGAACACACAGCGCUCUGCAGUAUGUGGAGAGCAUUGUGAUUUUCUCCUUACAAAUUACAACAAUGUGCCUUCAACCAGAAUGGAAUUUAGCUCAAAUUGCUCUAGUUUGGGAAAUAGUUACACUACCACUGAAUCUCCAUCUUUCUUCUGCAGUUUCCCCCAUAAUAGCUUUUUAAACAGUCUCAUCGGACAAGAAGAUGAAGAUUGGACUACAGUGGAAAGUUCUGCCUUGAUGAGAAACUUUGGAUUUCUUUAAAUAAAAAGCAAAACCUCUGUAGAUUUGAAGACAUAAAAAAGAGCUUCUGGUGUGUGUCCAUCGUAGUUCAGCUGUUCAUCUAAAAUCUUUGUACUGUUUUCUGUCUAGUCGGCCAUAAGUAGUAGGAACACACAAUAUAACAGUCUGAUAAACUCUUGGCCAAAAACGGAAACUUUCUGUUAUUGUUACAAAAAUACAACUUUAUCUCUUAAAAACCACAGAUAAAAGCUGCUUUUUCUACUCAAGAGGCCAACACAUUCCUACUUAUAAGUUUCUAUCCUGGUGUCACAGCUGUAGCUGUUGCAUUUUUCACCAGCAGGGGGCUCUAAUAAAAUCAUAUCUGCUGACACAAGACGUAUUAACAUUAAUGACACCAGUGUGCUAAAUUUAUUCAAAUUGAAUGAUUUAUCUGUAUUUGCUAAGAUGGAUAAAUGUUUUUUUCCAUUUUCACCCCGGAUUGUUCAUGUUUAUUAGCUUUUUCUGGGUGGGGCUUACCUGUCUGAAUUUAUGCUGAAUCUUAUACUAAUGUUUGAGAAAGGAGGUAUAGGCACAAAAUAAGAAAUUAGCAUCAGUACAUGCACCAGUAGUGUCUUCCUCUGUUAUUUGAACGCUGUUUAGUUUUAAGUCGAAGCUCUUUAACUCUCAGCUUCUCCUGCAAAGAUCUCUGCUCAAAUGUGUUUGUUUUCAGUGCCAUAACCAGCCUCAAAUAUUCUCCUCAGCUUCAAUAAUUCACACUCAUUUAUUGAAACAGGAUUUACUGUAACAGCUGUAUGCCUGUCCCCCUGUUACAAUUAAAGGGACAUAACCCUUGGCUACCACCUGCUGGCUGGGGGUGCAUGUGUUUCAGUCUCAGUUGUAUACGACUACAGCCUGCUGGUUUGUAACUUUGUUGCCCACAUUGUGAGUUUCUUAGUGACUGACUUUCCAAAGUGAAACAUUGGUUGGAUUUACUUGGUUACAAUUAAAUAUAAAGUGAAUGAAAUAUAUGGCAAGGCUGCAAGCCCCUUGAGAAACAGUGUAAGAAGUACACUGAGUAAUGGAGGUGUUUCCACUACAUUUAGCAGAAAUAUUUGAAACAUUGUAGGUGGAUUAAUGCUGUAAUUUACUUGAACAUUUAAAGACACCAAUAGCAGCCUGAAUAAUUUAGAUGUUCAGUUUCUUUUGUAGUGGUGUUAUUACAAUCUUUGUGGAGUAAAGUGUCUCUUUGUUAACUGCUCACCUGGGAAAUUUUAAAGUAAAGCCCUUGAAUGGGUGUGGGAAUACUGAGAAGUCUCAAGCUCGGGAAUUGCUUUGGUGAGUUUUUUUUUUUUUUAAAGGAUAAGUUGGCUGCUUUGCCACAGCCACUCUCAGAGAGAAGGAAGUCUCUGCCUUUCAAUUGUGGUUAUGACUCAGCCUUAUAUUUUGGAGGACCUGGUUUCACUAGAGAAUACUGUGCUGGAGAACUUCACUUCUCAGGCAUGUAUCGGACAUUCAGAUAAAGACAGAUCAGAGCUGUUGAUUGAUAAUUGAAGGCGGUGGAGAGAGCCUGUAUGUGUGUUGUGCUUUGUGAGGACUGAUCUUGGGUCUCUGUAAGGGUUUAAAACACCUGCCUAACUGGAGUGAUCAUGUCCAAAGAGAGAGGUGGUUCUUGGGUAUCGUUGCCUGUAAUGAUUCAUUGGUGAAGGUAUAAACUCACCGAGACAGUGAUGUUUUUUUAAGGAGGCUCAGACAAGCCACUGUAGCUACUGUGAUCCUAUGGAUGAAAUCAUGGUUGGAGGGAAUGCUCUCCUACGAAGAAUGCAAUCCAAGCGAUGGAGAAGUUGAUUCUUGCUUGAUGUGAAACAAUGGUAGAUAGGUUGAUAUGGUGCUUUUACAUUACAUGUAACAGUCACCCAUUCACACACUGAUGGCAGAGGCUUCUCUGUAUAGAGUCCAUCAGUUUUUGAUUAGUCCGAUUCAUACACCACUGGGCCUAGCCAGUGGGGAUGGAGUGGGGUCAAGCGUCUCGCCCAAGGACGCUUUCGCGGGUGAAUAGCGGGACCUUGGAUCAUAACCCAGACCUUCUAAUUGGAAGACAAGCAUCUCUACCACUGAGACGAAGCCGCCCCAACAGUGAUACCAUCAUUUCACCAAGCUUGUAGUGAUGAUUUAUUAAAGCUUUAGUUGGAAACCACAUUUGCACUUUGAGUGAAGCUGCAAAAAAUUGCAAUCAGAACCAUCGUUUGAUUGAGUGAAGGUGUAGGGACCCUCCUGGUCUUCUGGUCUCUUCCCAUGAACGGGCAAGUCCAGAUGUGAGGAAUCCUGUUAUAUAUGCCACUCAAUACUGGUAAAAUCACACAUUUUACCUUGACCUAAAAAGAAGUAUUAGGAUCCCAUAGGAGGAGGUGGUGGACGUGGCCAGGUGGAAGGGCAUCUGGGCCUCUUGCUGCUUGUGUGAUUUGACCCAGAUUAUGGAGAGAAAUGGAUGGUAACGAUUAAAAACUGAAUCACAUGGCACUUUUUUUUAUAAAACCACACAGAUUCUUUAUUUAGAACGAAAGGGUGACUAUUAAAUGUGUUAAAUAAAAACUAGGGUACAGCUGGAGCUCGGUAUGGCAAUUUCAAUGUGUUAUUAUUUUAAUACUGGAGUCCUGAUGCCUCCUCAGAGUUCAUACAAGAUAAAACACUCUUUUAACAACUAGAUUCUAAAUAAAAAAAGAAUACAUUAGUGGUUCAUAUUCUGCUUAUAAAUUUCUUAAAGCUAUACUAAAAUGUUACCGAUUGUACUCCCUCCUUCAUGAGCAAGCCUAAUUUGUUUCUAGCAUCUGUGACGGAGCAUCUGCUGCUUACCAAGGACACAAUUAGCGAUCCAUCAAUCAACUCUCUUGUAGCUAACUCAGAUCCGGCCCUGCCAAAAAGCACGGGCAUUAACAAGCAACUGUUGGCCAUGUUCGAGGCCAAGCUGUGCUUUGGCUUUACGGUGAGGAAGAAUUUAAUGUAGAGAAAUGAUAUCAAUGGCUCUUGUCUGAAAUUGACUGAACAUACAACUAAAUUAAUGGUGCGGCCUACAAUCUGUUUUCCUAAAGAGGGAUUUUACUCGGUGCCAGCAUUCAUGACAGUCUUGUGCUCUGUUGGUUAACAUGCUUAAACACCUUCUGCUGCAGAAAUUAAUUUUGAAAAACCAACAAGAUGUAUUCAGAUGGACAGGAAACUUGUUGAGACGCAGAAGCAGAGACGCUCACAGGUGAUAUUUGCAAGCCGCAGCCCAUGGCAUUGCCUCAAGUCCAAAAUUAGCAUUACAGUAUCAGGGAUGUGAAUGCCUUUUGUUCCUGCUUUUUAAUAUUAAUAGAUAUCUGGUCUUAUAACCACUCGGUCUGGUGUGAUAGAGUGUCAAAGUAGCUGAAACAUACACUGCAGUAGCUGGUGUUGUAAUGAGUCGCUGACUCAAACUGAGUCCAACUUGUGUUGUGAUUUUCAGGUCAUGUGACUCAACUUGGACUGAGACACAAGAACUGAAAACAUCUAUGAUGCAUUGCAACAAUGCAUUUAAUGAUAAAGACUGAUUAUCUGUUAGCGUAUAGCGUAAGGCCAGAAUUAUUUCUUUAGUUUUAAGCAUGGCUGAAUUAGUAGCCGUAGUCUAAUCCAACCCAGACUCAGACAAAGAUAAACUUGGACUCUUCUUUGUAUUUAAACACUGGCAAAUUGAAGCUCAACUUGCACUCUAGGUUUGGUAACGUCUCUUCAAUGAUGUUGAAAACACUCGCGGAACAGAGUCUGCAAGUUUAGUCGAGGUUGAUCAUGAAUAAUAAUUCAGACCUCCCUCGCCACAGAAACAAACAUUUUUCCUCUUACCUGCUCGAGCCCUUCUGGGAUGUGACUCAGAUAUCCAAAAAUAACAUGCAAGGCAGACAGGAGAAAAGCAUGGACUGUCCGCCAGUUCAUAACAGUGCUAAUAGAGACAGACAGUACUUCAAACCCAAGGGCAGUUCAGACUCCAUUCAACCUGACAUGCAGGAUUUGUGCUGGGGAAGGACACGGGAAACAUUAAUUAGAUAUACAAACAAAGGCAUGAGAUUUAGUAUGAAUGCUUGAAAGUCUAUAGAAUUUAUUGGUAUGAGGUGGUAUGAACAGGCUGACUUUACAUAUAUACCAAACCCCUGUGUGCAGAUUGAUAUGGUAAAAUAUAGUCAUGGGUUCAAACUGAAAUGGAGCAGCAUCUCUAGAGCAGUUAUAAUAGACGGUAGAAUAAUUUACAAAUAAGAAUUUAGAGUUCAAUGAAGCCAUGUUAUACUCUUAGUAUGUAUGGAAAUGAUCUUUGAAUAUUAUGAAGGGUUUAGUAUGUUGUAUUAAAAUUGUAUUUAGGCCAUAUCUGGCAUGCAACUUGUUGAUUGGAGCGAUGCAAAGCACAGACACUUUAAUCUGCAAGAAGGACCAAAGGCUGGUCACUGCUCACCAGCUGCUCGCUCUGCAAACCUCAGCCAGACUCUGCAAACCAAUCUGACAUUGUUGAUCUGCAGACUCUGUGAUCCCGUUUUCUUAGCAUUUUCUUACUUUAACCUUCCCCCUGUGUUAGCUUUUACAAUGCACCCACCAUGUUAAGAGUCAGUUUUGACUCGUGUCUUAAAUCAGCUGUAAAUCACACCAAAAACAGUUCUCUAUCAUCCAAUUUGGUUCUCAUCUCUAGGUUACCUUGUUAGGCUUCAUUAUCCAUGAAAAUAUUGCUUACAGUAUUUUUUGUUGUGUCUCUGGGCCUUUCUUUGUCAGUUUACCCUCACACAGACAUCUAUAAUGAAUUGAUCUCUGGAAAUGCCCGAUGUAGUUUUUUGUGCAGGGAAAAACAUGGCCAAACGAGAAUUUCCUAAAUCUCACAUGAUUGGAAGAGGAUCUGACUGUUUUUGCUCUAACUAUUAGAUAUUGAUCUAACCAGGUCUAUAGCGACCCUAACACGACAAGUGCCAUAAGAGCAUUUUAUAAUUUGGUCAAUUAUUUUUAUUUUGUUGGAAUAGAGGUUCCCGACAAAGUCAAAAAGUCUUGAUGCAAAAAAGCAAAUGUAAGUGAUUCUUUAAAGCAUUUAAAAUCAAAAACAGGUCAGUGCAGACCCUAACACAGGAGGAGGGUUUAGAUAACUUGAUCAAUAAAGUGUUAAUUCAACACUUUAUUUAAACAACUAGGAAAUACUUGCACCUAGUUGCAAUAUUGGUGCCAGUUUAUCCAAGUGGUUAGAGCACAAACCUCAUAUAAAGCAUUCAGCAGCAAACAUCAGCCCUCUGGUGCUUGUCUCUACUGUUUGCUAUAUUUUCCACAUAAAUUCACUUUGCUGUCAAAUAAAUUCCAAGCCAAAAAAAAACAAAAGCCGUUGAGUCAUCAGGUGUUUUAAAACUAUACCAGGGAUCAUAACAUGAGGUGAAGUACAGGUAAACCUCGGCUUUUUCCCUGUCAGCAAACCUGCACUCCCUGUGAAGCUUGACGUGUGCUGUGACCUGUGCGCGCUGCUGAAAGGAGGUCAAAUCGGUGUGUCCCAUCACUUCCUUUUGCCUAAAGCGCCACAUUCUUCAACGAUCACCAUCAGGCAAUCCAAGCUAAGCCUAAUGAGCUCUCUGGCCAAUUAUAACCCUCUAGAGACCACCCUGCCCCUAUUUGCACCUGCUAGCAUAUGCAAUUUAUAGCUGUGGAGCACACAUGCAUAACACGCCACUUUGGGGACAGAAAUAUGGAUUUGCUAUGACUGGGUAUUAUUCCUCUGGUAUAUCCCCUUCAAAUAAGAGCGUCUCUCGCUGCAGCUCUCCCUACUGGGCCAAUCUGCUGCAUGACGAAGUGCAAUUAUGAGGCGCAUAAUAGCCAGUUCUAACCCUAACCCUGUUUAAGACACGAAGGGCAAAGUAAAGCCUGGCGGGACACGCUGUGACUGUGGAGAAUUGGGAAGGAGAGUAUGUGUGACACAUUGAGUGAAAAAGCCAGCGACAAUAGACUAAUAAUGGAAGGUCACGCCUCUGCCUGACAUCACCAAGAAGAGGCAGCUCAUUCAGGAUUUCUGCCUCCGCCUGUGAUGAGAUUCACAGAGGCAUUAGGAUGAGGCAAGAGUCUCUCACAGUUACACUUAAACAUAAGUGCUGUGCCACGGGCUUCAGUCUGACAAAAAAUAGACACGCUACAGGAACAUAAAGGUGUUUUUAGUACAUCAACACAGUUUCAGGUAAAAGGAUUGAAGAUGUUUUCAGAUCUAUUCAGAUAAAAAACAUGAUUUUGUGUUUGGUUUUGCUUCGUCCUUGUGCUGUUGCGUUUUUUGUUGAUUUUUGUGUUGGGGUUCCCAAUGCCAUAUGCUGGGAAAUUUCCCCGAGGAUUAUGCCGUUGUCAAAAGACAGCAUCAGCCUAAAUGAUGCAAAAAAUGUUGACAGAAUGACAAACCUUCCCAGUGGUGCUGUCAAAAGAAAAAGUCUGUAUUUGGAACUUCUGCAGGAAAAAAAUAAACAAAAAAGGUCGGGUUUAAAGCACGGUGACAUUGCAGUUUUUCAUAAUCAAAUGGGACAUUUCUUAGCUUUGGAAAUUAAACCAUUCAAUUAAUCUCUAAAAACCAAAGUCCCCACAUACAAAUUAUAGCAUUAGGGUAUAUAAAUGUCCUUUACCUCCCUUUGUUGUUUCUUCUUUUGUCAGUUCUUUUAACACCAUUACAAAGUAUUUCCAUCACUUAUACUCCAGGGACAUUUGCAGAUGAGGCUAAAAUUAGGAGGGUGGUGGACAGGAGCUGACCUUACUUCAGGAGCACCUGGGCAUUUCCAGGCAGCCUGAGGGUCUAUUUGGCCUGCUAAGAGCAGUCAUUGUGUACAGCUAGAAUGAGUGAAUAGACCUCUCUGAAUGCUCACAUCACUUAAAGCUGAUAGAGCUAAUGCAUGUAUAUUGUGUUCGGCCGGUUGCCAUUGUGUCCUGAAACAUAUGACGCCAUUACACCCCGUGUGACGCACAUAGCAACAGUCUACCCACUGCUUCUCGAUGGACACGUGACAGUGUUAUUACAAGAUGAUAUAGAAAGAAGGGAAGGGUAGAGCGGAGUGAGACCAUUUUUGUUGCUAUAGUUUACAUGAUUUGUAAAAAAUAAACUUCAUCAAUAAAAAUGCAUAAAUUGAUGAAUCAAUCAUACAAGAUCUAAACCAAAUAAGUGGUGUGUUCACCAGUGAGGGACCAGGUAAGUUUAUGCAUUCCCAGUAUGACUUGCUUAGUCAUGCUGAUAACAGUCUGUAUGUUCACAUGCAGCCGAGUCGAGCCACAGUUAAAACUUGAAUAGGCAAUUUAGGCGGACUGCUGUCUAGUCUGAGUCUAGAAGCCCGAAGUGAGAACCGACAAAGUCCACCUCCCCUACAUUCGGUGGCAAUAUGUUCGUCUGGAGCUCAUAAUUACAGAGCUAGCCCCCAGUUGGGCGAACAAUCGAUGAAUAUGUUGGCAAGAGGCUAGUGUAGCUGCCAUUGAAAUAAACCUGUUGUUUCCUAUUCUUUAAGUAGCUUUUAAACCAUAAUAUUGCUGAUUUUUAGAAACCAUAACAUCCCAACUCUCUUAUUAAUAUUUUAUGAUCAAUGAUAUCAAAAGCUGCUGUGAAAUCUAACAAAACUGCUCCUCCUGCCCUGAUAAAUGUAUUAACAGGAAUUUUAAAAACCGCGUUUUAGACGUACUAAUGCAAAUUUAUUAUUUUUAACAAUGUGCACAUACUGAGUGUGACCAGAAGGCUGCACAGUGGGCGUGUGGAGGAAUAAAAUCAUUACAAUGAGUACAACAGACCGGUCAUAUAAAAGUAUAUAUAUAAUGAAUGAAUGAAUUUUUAGCAACCAUCUACUUCAGGUCAUGACUAAAUUACUGCUGUUAAAACCAGAUUUUUAGAUCAGCUGAUACAUGUGGUUUUAAGUCGAGUUACUACAAUUAGAGUAAUUAAAGAUUAAUGGUCACAGUGCCUGAUGCUUCAUUUGUUAAGAAAUUGAACAAUUUAAAAUCCUGAGUUAAUAAUCCUCUCUGAACAUUUUCAUGAUCAGUUCGGAGCCUCCAGGCCAAAAAACAAAACAAAGGAAACUCAAACUGGUGCAGUGGGGGUUCAUGAUGGUUUUAUUUCACCCACUUAACACGUGCUGCUUUCAUUGACAUGCAGUUCAUACACCACAUGCAGAGUAGAGAUGUUCUUCCAACAGCACCUGAUGUUAUCCAGUGGAAUCCAAUCUGAAACAGUGUUUCUGCCAUAAUUGGCCAGUUUUUCAUUAUUUCACUAAGGUUUUGGUGAUGGCAAGAGGUGUGCAUCUUUCACCACAAGUCAAUCUGAUUCAAACCUUGAUGUUUUUAAUCUGAUUUAAGAAAGAUUUGUGUGGGAUUAAAUGUGAUUAAAUUUGAUGCAAACCGGCGUGCAAAUUAUUAAUUAUUAAUUAAUUAACAGAAUAUUGAACUGUAACUUGUGAAUGCUGGCAUUGGUUGCACAGGUUUCAUUUAAGGGUCUUCAUAUGCAUCUGCAAAGCAUACAGACAAGCAGACUGAGCCGAAACAGAGGCACAAUGAACUAUUCGCACAUAACGGCACAACAAAAAGUAGUGAAAUUGCGUUCAUCAGAUGAAAACUGCAGACAUCUCAGUGUGGACUAAGUUUAAUUUUUCAUUAACUUAUGCUCAACAAUGUUUUUGACACAGGAAAACUUAAAGGGACAUUCCGAUGGUCUUCCUUGAGCUGCGUCACCCUGCAGCAAUCCAUAAUGGACUCGCCCGAGGUCUCGCUACAAACAAGCGGCUGCUGGAAGAGAGUAGGUGAGUUGUUUUUAGUCUCUUUGCUAAAGAAACCAGGCAAAGUUAAUAGGCUGGUUUGUGGCUAGUGCUGUGGCUGAGACCCUAUUUGUACUGUUGAUGAAGUUAGGUGCUGAUCUGAGCAUUAUUUGUGGCUAUAGAGUGGCGUUUUGGUUGAGGUUUGUUGAUGGCUCCUCAGCCUGCUGUGUAUUGCUAUCUUGCGGUCGUUACUUAAGUUGGUCUAACUAGAGAAGCAAGCUGUCGGCAACAUUCAUCUCUCGAGGGGGUGUCUAACUCGGUGUUACGGUGUGUUUGACCCUAAAUUAAUUUUACGCUGGAAUAUCCCUUUAAUUUAAAAAGCUUCUAAUCCUCUCCUGCACAGCAGUGCUCUCUGCCGGCCCCUAUCACAAAGACACCAUUGGUAAUAAGGGUGAUGGGAAACAGGUGGGGAGACACAACCAGGUGGCAGGUGUGACAAGACGGGGGCAGGGCAGACCAGAC